rnacentral:rRNA from 1 species
UACGGAGGGUGCGAGCGUUGUCCGGAAUCAUUGGGCGUAAAGGGCGCGUAGGUGGCCCGGUCAGUCUUUGGUGAAAGCGCGGGGCUCAACCCUGCGUCGGCCAGGGAUACUGCCGCGGCUCGAGCACUGUAGAGGCAGGCGGAAUUCCGGGUGUAGCGGUGAAAUGCGCAGAUAUCGGGAGGAACACCAAUGGCGAAGGCAGCUCGCUGGGACGUGACUGACGCUGAGACGCGAAUGCGUGGGGAGCAAACAGG